UACAGAGGUCUCAAGCGUUGUUCGGAUUCAUUGGGCGUAAAGGGUGCGUAGGCGGCGGUGCAAGUCCGAUGUGAAAUACCGGGGCUCAACCCCGGAACUGCAUUGGAUACUGCAUUGCUAGAGUACUGGAGAGGGAACUGGAAUUUACGGUGUAGCAGUGAAAUGCGUAGAGAUCGUAAGGAAGACCAGUGGCGAAGGCGAGUUCCUGGACAGUUACUGACGCUGAGGCACGAAGGCCAGGGGAGCAAACAGG
rnacentral:rRNA from 1 species